GAUGAACGCUGGCGGCGUGCUUAACACAUGCAAGUCGAACGGAAAGGCCCAAGCUUGCUUGGGUACUCGAGUGGCGAACGGGUGAGUAACACGUGGGUGAUCUGCCCUGCACUUCGGGAUAAGCCUGGGAAACUGGGUCUAAUACCGGAUAGGACCACAUUUUGGAUGGUGUGGUGGAAAGUUUUUCGGUGUGGGAUGAGCUCGCGGCCUAUCAGCUUGUUGGUGGGGUAAUGGCCUACCAAGGCGUCGACGGGUAGCCGGCCCGAGAGGGUGUACGGCCACAUUGGGACUGAGAUACGGCCCAGACUCCUACGGGAGGCAGCAGUGGGGAAUAUUGCACAAUGGGCGCAAGCCUGAUGCAGCGACGCCGCGUGGGGGAUGACGGCCUUCGGGUUGUAAACUCCUUUCGCUAGGGACGAAGCGUUAUGUGACGGUACCUGGAGAAGAAGCACCGGCUAACUACGUG
rnacentral:rRNA from 1 species